rnacentral:rRNA from 1 species
GACGUAGGGGGCUAGCGUUGUCCGGAAUCAUUGGGCGUAAAGAGCGUGUAGGCGGUCCGGUAAGUCCGCUGUGAAAGUCGGGGGCUCAACCCUCGAAUGCCGGUGGAUACUGUCGGGCUUGAGUACGGAAGAGGCGAGUGGAAUUCCUGGUGUAGCGGUGAAAUGCGCAGAUAUCAGGAGGAACACCAAUUGCGAAGGCAGCUCGCUGGGACGUUACUGACGCUGAGACGCGAAAGCGUGGGGAGCAAACAGG